UAAGGAGUAGUACAAUGGGAGUACGGAGGGCUUUGAUUUCUCUGGUGUAGGUUCAACUCCUAUCUCUUUAUAG
rnacentral:tRNA from 1 species